UUAGCAUUUUGUUUCCCAUUCCUAUGUGCUUGUAAAGUAAGAGUGUUUGAAGAGUGUCUGAGUGUUUGAGUGUUUGUGUGUGCUUAAAGAGUGUAACGCUUGUAUAGAAGUAUCAAUUUCUGUAUUUGAAGACCAUAUAUGCGGUAAUCGAAAGAAGAUCGUUUUUUGAAGCUAUUGAAACUCCCCAUUUUGCAGAGAUAUGGAGUUGCAGAAUGUGAAUACUUAGGGCAGACCUAGUUCUGUAGUUGUUCAUUCGUCUACCCAAAUAUAGAAUUACAAACUCCCAUUUGGCUGGGGUGUUUAUCUCUGGAAGCUCCUGCAGCUGUUCACCCUCUUCAUAAACACAGAGAGCUCAGUCUUCUCCAUCAGCACCUUCCUCUGAUUUUGUGAAAGGUUACUUGGAAAGAGCAAUCAAAGGUGAAGAGGAGAAGUCUAGAGUACUGAAAAACGAAAUGGAUGUGUUUGAGAAAAAGCGAAGGAUAUAUACCGAUAUUCUAGAGGCCAUUAAUAACAUAGACAUAAAUAAAGGUGGUUGUUAGAGGGUAAUGACCAACUAUUGGGAACUUGUAAGACAUAUGGCAUAAACAUGGGAAUAUUUGCAUUUUAUUCUACUAUUAUUGGUUGACAUUUCUUGUUUCGUAAAAUUAUGAUGUAAGUUCGAGAUAAGGAAAUUGGUAGUUGUAUGUAUGAUUAAAAUGAAGGGCCAUGAGUUUCUGAAGAAAGUAACAAAAGUGGAAUUAUUUUCAUUAAAAUUUCUUAUAAACAUCAUAUUCUGUCAGAAAUGUUCCCAGAAAUAGAAUUUAUCAAACACCUUCUUACCCGUUUCUGUUUCCAGAAACAAGAAUUAUCAAACACCCU